rnacentral:rRNA from 1 species
UACGGAGGAUCCGAGCGUUAUCCGGAUUUAUUGGGUUUAAAGGGUGCGCAGGCGGGAGAUUAAGUCUGCGGUGAAAUUUUGCAGCUCAACUGUAAAAGUGCCUUCGAAACUGGUUUCCUUGAGUGUGGAUGAAGUAGGCGGAAUUUGUGGUGUAGCGGUGAAAUGCAUAGAUAUCACGAGGAACUCCGAUUGCGCAGGCAGCUUACUAAGCCAUAACUGACGCUCAGGCACGAAGGCGUGGGGAUCAAACAGGAUUAGAUACCCGGGUA